GCGACUUCCCUGGCCCUCCCCCUGCGGACCAGUGAACCUCGCCCGAGGGCUCAAUAAAGAAGAUUUUUGCCCUCUUUUUCUCACCUCUCAGCCUUAUUGAUCCAUGGUGCCCUUCCAUUGCCUUUCAUUGGUGCCGAAACCCGGGAGGGGACACCUCCUAAGCCCCCCCAGAGGCUCAGGGGGACUCCCCUCCUGGUCGGAUCAGUCCUCUCCCUCAGUCAGGUCAGGCUUCUCCUCCACGGCCAUCUGUCCAUUUCGUCCGGUUACUUGCUGCCAGGUCGCAGUUGCUGCAGCUACUCCAGUCCAAUUCGGCCGACGCUAGUCAAACAGGUGACAACCACACUUGGCGUUAACUGGAAGCUACACACUCCAUACCAUCCGCAGUCUUCUGGAAAAGUGGAAUGCGCCAACGGCCUUGUCAAACAACACCUAAUCAAAUUGGCUCUCGAGAAGCGCCAAUCAUCAACUGAGAUGCAAAACCCAUGUUCACAUCAUGAGUGAGUCUUCUAACUCGGACAAUGCAAUCAACAAAUUCUAAGACCAAAUUCCGGUGGCACUGGCUCCAAAGCUCCUGAGUGUGGAAGGAGGUGAACAGGGAAAAGCAGAGAGGACAAAAGUCACAUCCCCUCCCCACAGACCCAUACUGGGGAAGGGUGGAAGAUUUAGCUGCGAGUCAAGUUCAGAAUUUUGAUUAACAUCUUGGCAUGCACAUUCGAAUUUCAGAAUCAAGACUGUUGGCCAUAAAAAAUGACUAUAGCCUUGUGUAUUACCUGAACUGAGCAGUAAAAAAAAAGUCAUGGUCCUUCUGGGGCUUUUAUUCUGAGACAGGAACCCUGAACAGGCAGGAGAAAGGGAAUGUUGACAGAGAAACAAAGACAGUUGGCGACACACGCUGACCGCCAUGCGGACGUCCAUCAAACCCAGCACUGGCCCUGGGUACGUGCGCCUUUGCUAUUACCCCAAUACAUUUUCUUCUGCAGAGCAAGCAACAGAACACAUGCAGACCUUAAUAAAUACCACUGGGUAAUGUGACAAUGGCCAAACUCUCCUCACGGGGGAGAGAGUGUCCCCCAGUUUUGCUCCCUUUUAAUUUCCAGGGUUCAUAAGUAGCUCUAAAGCUUUGCUCUACAAGGUUGAUACAUACGAUAUUAAUGUUUCCCCUAAGCAGUAUAACAUAAAUAUAUUUGCUAUCU
rnacentral:lncRNA from 1 species